GACCUUUAAGAGAUCACCUAAGAGACUGGGUGAAGAAACAGGAUGAAGUGAGGAAGAAUGGGAUAGAUGAAAGAGGGAGGGAGGGAACACGAUGACUAAUUUGGAAAUCAUAUGGGAAGGAAGAGUGAUUUAGAGAGGGGAAGUCAGGGGCCGGGAGUUUGGCAAGAAGGAGGGAGGGGAGCUUGUGAAGAGGGAGGGGGGAAAAUACUUCCUUGUAAAACCCAGCAAAUUCUGUACUUAGAAGAAAACAAGACCAGAAAGAGCCUAAUUUGGAAUGUGAACACAGGGUGGAUGAAGCUGGAUUAAUUUUAUGUCAGAGAAAGUCUCAGAGUGCCCAGCUUAUUACAAAGACAGUUCAAGAGAUCACACACUGAUCCCGAUUUCCCCAAGGCUGUGGAAUUUUCAGAUUAGAGAUCUGACCAAUUCAGUUGUUGUUUUAAAGUACUGUUUCAUUUUAUUUGAAUUUUAAUGAAAAAAUACUGAUAUAUUGAAAACAGUGGUGCCUCUAUUUUAUGUUGCUUAUUUUUAACUUAAGAAUUGCAGAAAUAGCAUCAAAGGUCUAAAAUACAUCUUUUAUUGGGAGAAUAGAUACAGACAAUGACAGCAGAUGCAAUUCAGACAGAAGUCUGUUUUAAUCAGAGGCAGGACACAAUGUAAAGAGACAGUUUCAUCAUGGUCUUCAGGUUGAAAUAGCAAUAUUGUAGCUUAUCAACAGGUGACAUUUUGAAUUGUUUGCUAAAUUUUAUUUGGAAGGAGAGGCAGCAAGCCCCACCUCUGCCUUCAUGGAUUAAAUUUGCAAUCAGUUGUCACAUUUUAAGUAAGUGAUGGCACUAGCACAGGUAACAAUGACUAAAAACCAUCACUUCCAUUGUUUGCCAGUAGUACAUUUUGCAGAUUGAUUCCUUCUGCAGUGAAAACUAACAGAAAAAAUGAAGUGCUCUGUAAAAUUUGAGACACUUGUGGAAAACAUUUGUUGUAAGCAAGGGCCUCUUGCCACUCAGCACGUAACUUCAGGUCACCCUCCAGAGAGAAGAAAAUCAUGAAAUCAUGGAACCAUGGGAUGGUUGGGGUGGAAGGGACCUGAAAGGUCAUCCCGUUCCAACCCCUCUGCCAUGGACAGGGACAUCUUCCACCACAUUGCUCAACGCCCCAUCCAGUCUGAUCUUGAACACUUCCAGGGAUCCACAGCUCUGUGCAACCUGUGCCAGUGCCUCACCACUUUCAUAGUGAAGAAUUUCUUGCUAACAUCUAAUCUAACCAGUUUAAAAUGUUAUGUAGUGUUCAGUAAUGAUCCCACUCAAGCCAAUGCCAAAAAAAGCCUCCUUGAUCUCAGCAAGAGCAUAAGUGAACUCAUAAUUCCUUCUGAAACAAACAAAACUGUUUGGACUUAGUUUUAUGAAAACUAAGAGUGGUUUAUAUCUUUGCACCAUGUCAACCAUUUUUUCUUUGUAAACUGUCACUGCACAAAUUAAGAUAUUUAAUUACAUGGAAGGGUUAGAAGUGUGAUUACAAGUGGUUUUUGAGGUAGAGAAAGGCAAAUAUUUGUACUAGUUUAAUCAAAAAGUGUGAACAUAACACUGGCUCGGAUCCUCGUGUGUGGAUAGCACUGGGAAUAAUUGUCCUUGUGGGAGGAGGUUCUGGCCAGUGGUACAGCUUUGUGUUGUUGAUAGUGCUCCCUCGGUGAAUGGAACCUCCCUGAGAGAGGUGAGAGCAGAUCUGCUGGCAGGAGUACUCCCUACCUGCAUCAUGCAGGAGGCUGAGCUUAGCCAUGCAUCACUUUGUUUCAAGUAACCCAGCUCACCUCGGCUGAAAUAAGCUGGGCCUUGCCUAGGCCUCCCUUAGACAUCAAAAGGAGGGGCAGCCUCCAGCAUGUGGGCAAAGACAAGCUCCAGAGGUUGUGCCAUGGACAUGUCACCUCUCCCCGUGGGGCAUACACACAUCAGGAAAAGAACAUUGCUCUACAGCCACAGUCAUUCAGGGGACAAGUUUAUAUGACAGUGAAUUUUUCUUCAGGCAGGAAUGUUGCUGUGGAUUAAUUCAACUCAAUCAAUCAAUCAAAGUGAAGACAAGAACUAAAAGUACUAAUUAAAAGCAAAUAUUUCCAAUCAAAUUAGCUCAGAACACCAACAAUUUCCAUGUGUGGUGCAUCAGGAGGAGGCAAGGUCCAGCUACAUUCAUCACCCGGAGUCCAACAUUUGCUGCCAUCACUUUCUUGGCUUCCUCCUGAAGGGAGGAGAAAAUGAGCUGGGCCGAGGUCUCUGAACUUCAUCCUCCCUCUGGUCAGGGACACUGACAGACCCAGAGUGCAGACCCACAGGAUAUUCAGUUUAUUGUUCCAGUUUGCUUCAAGGCCUUUCCUACGACUUAAUUCCCUUGUCCUGCAGUAAAAGUGAUAAUAAUGAAAAGGUCUGUGAUUCACAGUUGAAGCACUGUGUCUUGCUUAAGUUAAACAAGUACCUAAGUGCUCUGCUGAACUGGGGCCAAGGGUGGAUUACUGAGAGAGCUGGGCAGUCUUCCCAUCUCCAGCCAGUUCACCAAGUAGUCUCAGGCUAAUCAUGGAGUUUUCUGGGGCUUAGUUUCCUGCACAUGUUUAUCAUAGGGUAUCUAUUCUGACUGGUAAAGAUAAGGAGAUAAUGGGGGGAUGUGAAAAAGCUUCACAACAUGGAAGAAGGAAAGUGCUAUAGAGAAAACAGGUUUCUACAUAUUAGAUAUAUAUUGCAUGUUACAUUCUCCCUAUGACUUUUCUUUAGUUUCUGGACUCUGUUCAGUAUUCAUGAAAAAAACAUCAGGCAUCUUAUUAACAGAGAGCCCACUUCCACCUGAAAUGGGAAAAGAGUAGUCUGAAUCCCACCAGAACCAGUGGAAGAAGAUCCAGCACUGCAUGCAACCAGCAUUCCAGAACAGCUCAAGCUGUGUUGCCUUCCAGCAGCCUCAUCAUCCUGGCAGCACUGGCCUGCUGCAGGAUGUGAAUCUUUGUUCAGGCUAUUGCCUUCAUGCCAUACAGCAGCCUGAAAAAUUAACACAGCCAUCUUUGGAAUGGCUUAUUAAAAGGGAAAUGGAACAACAUCUUUGUCAGUCCGUGCCUGACCCGCACUGGGAGAGUUUCUUCUGAUCAGAUAUGGAGCUUUUAAGGCUGU